UAUCGGAUUGAUACUAAGCCAUGCGAGUCUUUGUAGUAAUACAAGGCAGACGGCUCAGUAACACGUAGUCAACCUACCCUAUGGACAAGAAUAAUCUCGGGAAACUGGGCAUAAUUCUUGAUAGAUCAUAAUGCCUGGAAUGGUUUAUGGUUAAAAUGAUUCGUCGCCAUAGGAUGGGACUGCGGCCUAUCAGCUUGUUGGUGAGGUAAUGGCCCACCAAGGCGAUUACAGGUACGGGCUCUGAGAGGAGAAGCCCGGAGAUGGGUACUGAGACACGGACCCAGGCCCUAUGGGGCGCAGCAGGCGAGAAAACUUUGCAAUGUGCGAAAGCACGACAAGGUUAAUCCGAGUGAUUUCUGCUAAAGAAAUCUUUUGCCAGUCAUAAAACCACUGGUGAAUAAGGGGUGGGCAAGUUCUGGUGUCAGCCGCCGCGGUAAAACCAGCACCUCAAGUGGUCAGGAUGAUUAUUGGGCCUAAAGCAUCCGUAGCCGGCUUUGUUAGUUUUCGGUUAAAUCCAUGUGCUCAACGCAUGGGCUGCCGAAAAUACUGCAUAGCUAGGGAGUGGGAGAGGUAGACGGUACUCAGUAGGAAGGGGUAAAAUCCUUUGAUCUAUUGAUGACCACCUGUGGCGAAGGCGGUCUACCAGAACACGUUCGACGGUGAGGGAUGAAAGCUGGGGGAGCAAACCGGAUUAGAUACCCGGGUAGUCCCAGCUGUAAACGAUGCAGACUCGAUGAUGCAUUGGCAUAAUAGCCAGUGCAGUGUCGCAGGGAAGCCGUUAAGUCUGCCGCCUGGGAAGUACGUACGCAAGUAUGAAACUUAAAGGA
rnacentral:rRNA from 1 species